rnacentral:rRNA from 1 species
UGUGAACUCGAAGAGUAGGGCGGGACACGUGGUAUCCUGUCUGAAUAUGGGGGGACCAUCCUCCAAGGCUAAAUACUCCUGACUGACCGAUAGUGAACCAGUACCGUGAGGGAAAGGCGAAAAGAACCCCGGCGAGGGGAGUGAAAAAGAACCUGAAACCGUGUACGUACAAGCAGUGGGAGCACCUUCGUGGUGUGACUGCGUACCUUUUGUAUAAUGGGUCAGCGACUUAUAUUCUGUAGCAAGGUUAACCGUAUAGGGGAGCCGAAGGGAAACCGAGUCUUAACUGGGCGUUAAGUUGCAGGGUAUAGACCCGAAACCCGGUGAUCUAGCCAUGGGCAGGUUGAAGGUUGGGUAACACUAACUGGAGGACCGAACCGACUAAUGUUGAAAAAUUAGCGGAUGACUUGUGGCUGGGGGUGAAAGGCCAAUCAAACCGGGAGAUAGCUGGUUCUCCCCGAAAGCUAUUUAGGUAGCGCCUCGUGAACUCAUCUUCGGGGGUAGAGCACUGUUUCGGCUAGGGGGCCAUCCCGGCUUACCAACCCGAUGCAAACUACGAAUACCGAAGAAUGUUAUCACGGGAGACACACGGCGGGUGCUAACGUCCGUCGUGAAGAGGGAAACAACCCAGACCGCCAGCUAAGGUCCCAAAGUCAUGGUUAAGUGGGAAACGAUGUGGGAAGGCACAGACAGCCAGGAUGUUGGCUUAGAAGCAGCCAUCAUUUAAAGAAAGCGUAAUAGCUCACUGGUCGAGUCGGCCUGCGCGGAAGAUGUAACGGGGCUAAACCAUGCACCGAAGCUGCGGCAGCGACGCUUAUGCGUUGUUGGGUAGGGGAGCGUUCUGUAAGCCGUUGAAGGUGUGCUGUGAGGCAUGCUGGAGGUAUCAGAAGUGCGAAUGCUGACAUAAGUAACGAUAAAGCGGGUGAAAAGCCCGCUCGCCGGAAGACCAAGGGUUCCUGUCCAACGUUAAUCGGGGCAGGGUGAGUCGACCCCUAAGGCGAGGCCGAAAGGCGUAGUCGAUGGGAAACAGGUUAAUAUUCCUGUACUUGGUGUUACUGCGAAGGGGGGACGGAGAAGGCUAUGUUAGCCGGGCGACGGUUGUCCCGGUUUAAGCAUGUAGGCGGAGGUUCCAGGUAAAUCCGGUACCUUUUAACGCUGAGGUGUGAUGACGAGGCACUACGGUGCUGAAGUAACAAAUGCCCUGCUUCCAGGAAAAGCCUCUAAGCAUCAGGUAACAUCAAAUCGUACCCCAAACCGACACAGGUGGUCAGGUAGAGAAUACCAAGGCGCUUGAGAGAACUCGGGUGAAGGAACUAGGCAAAAUGGUGCCGUAACUUCGGGAGAAGGCACGCUGAUAUGUAGGUGAAGCCCCUGCGGGUGGAGCUGAAAUCAGUCGAAGAUACCAGCUGGCUGCAACUGUUUAUUAAAAACACAGCACUGUGCAAACACGAAAGUGGACGUAUACGGUGUGACGCCUGCCCGGUGCCGGAAGGUUAAUUGAUGGGGUUAGCGGUAACGCGAAGCUCUUGAUCGAAGCCCCGGUAAACGGCGGCCGUAACUAUAACGGUCCUAAGGUAGCGAAAUUCCUUGUCGGGUAAGUUCCGACCUGCACGAAUGGCGUAAUGAUGGCCAGGCUGUCUCCACCCGAGACUCAGUGAAAUUGAACUCGCUGUGAAGAUGCAGUGUACCCGCGGCAAGACGGAAAGACCCCGUGAACCUUUACUAUAGCUUGACACUGAACACUGGUCCUUGAUGUGUAGGAUAGGUGGGAGGCUUUGAAGUGUGGACGCCAGUCUGCAUGGAGCCGUCCUUGAAAUACCACCCUUUAAUGGCUGGUGUUCUAACGUAGACCCGUAAUCCGGGUUGCGGACAGUGUCUGGUGGGUAGUUUGACUGGGGCGGUCUCCUCCCAAAGAGUAACGGAGGAGCACGAAGGUUAGCUAAUCCUGGUCGGACAUCAGGAGGUUAGUGCAAUGGCAUAAGCUAGCUUGACUGCGAGAGUGACGGCUCGAGCAGGUGCGAAAGCAGGUCAUAGUGAUCCGGUGGUUCUGAAUGGAAGGGCCAUCGCUCAACGGAUAAAAGGUACUCCGGGGAUAACAGGCUGAUACCGCCCAAGAGUUCAUAUCGACGGCGGUGUUUGGCACCUCGAUGUCGGCUCAUCACAUCCUGGGGCUGAAGUAGGUCCCAAGGGUAUGGCUGUUCGCCAUUUAAAGUGGUACGCGAGCUGGGUUUAGAACGUCGUGAGACAGUUCGGUCCCUAUCUGCCGUGGGCGCUGGAGAAUUGAGGGGGGCUGCUCCUAGUACGAGAGGACCGGAGUGGACGCAUCACUGGUGUUCGGGUUGUCAUGCCAAUGGCACUGCCCGGUAGCUAAAUGCGGAAAAGAUAAGUGCUGAAAGCAUCUAAGCACGAAACUUGCCCCGAGAUGAGUUCUCCCUGAGACUUUAAGUCUCCUGAAGGAACGUUGAAGACGACGACGUUGAUAGGUCGGGUGUGUAAGCGCAGCGAUGCGUUGAGCUAACCGAUACUAAUGAACCGUGAGGCUUAACCUU